rfam:Myotis lucifugus cont2.25616, whole genome shotgun sequence.
AGCCUUGAGCAAUGGCAAUAUCAUAGCCAAUGAGGUUUAUCUGAGGUGUGAUUAUUGCUCAUUGAGAAU